rnacentral:rRNA from 1 species
UACAGAGGGUGCGAGCGUUAUUCGGAAUUACUGGGCGUAAAGCGUGCGUAGACGGUUAUUUAAGUCGGAUGUGAAAGCCCCGGGCUCAACCUGGGAAUUGCAUUCGAGACUGCAUAGCUAGGGUGCGGUAGAGGGAAGCGGAAUUUCCGGUGUAGCGGUGAAAUGCGUAGAUAUCGGAAGGAACAUCAGUGGCGAAAGCGGCUUCCUGGACCAGCACGGACGGUCAGGCACGAAAGCGUGGGGAGCAAACAGG